rnacentral:rRNA from 1 species
GACGAACGCUGGCGGCGUGCUUAACACAUGCAAGUCGAACGGAAAGGCCCUGCUUUUGUGGGGUGCUCGAGUGGCGAACGGGUGAGUAACACGUGAGUAACCUGCCCUUGACUUUGGGAUAACUUCAGGAAACUGGGGCUAAUACCGGAUAGGAGCUCCUGCUGCAUGGUGGGGGUUGGAAAGUUUCGGCGGUUGGGGAUGGACUCGCGGCUUAUCAGCUUGUUGGUGGGGUAGUGGCUUACCAAGGCUUUGACGGGUAGCCGGCCUGGGAGGGUGACCGGCCACAUUAGGACUGAGAUACGGCCCAGUCUCCUGCGUGAGGCAGCAGUGGGGAAUAUUGCACAGUGGGCGGAAGCCUGAUGCAGCAACGCCGCGUGCGGGAUGACGGCCUUCGGGUUGUGAACCGCUUUCGCCUGUGACGAAGCGUGAGUGACGGUAAUGGGUAAAGAAGCACCGGCUAACUACGUG